rnacentral:other from 1 species
CGGAGCAGCCGCAGCUUGCAGCCCGUGGAGGACGCCCAGAGUGGCGAGCAGACUGACCGACAGACUCGCCCCACGUCCACCUGUCUGCUGCGGCCGGCCCAGAGCUCAGCU